UCCGUAGGUGAACUGCGGAGGGAUCAUUAUAGAGUUUCUAACUCCCAACCCAUGUGAACUUACCAUUGUUGCCUCGGCAGAAGCUUCUCGGUGCACCUUACCUUGGAACGGCCUACCCUGUAGCGCCUUACCCUGGAACGGCUUACCCUGUAGCGGCUGCCGGUGGACUACCAAACUCUUGUUAUUUUAUUGUAAUCUGAGCGUCUUAUUUUAAUAAGUCAAAACUUUCAACAACGGAUCUCUUGGUUCUGGCAUCGAUGAAGAACGCAGCGAAAUGCGAUAAGUAAUGUGAAUUGCAGAAUUCAGUGAAUCAUCGAAUCUUUGAACGCACAUUGCGCCCAUUAGUAUUCUAGUGGGCAUGCCUGUUCGAGCGUCAUUUCAACCCUUAAGCCUAGCUUAGUGUUGGGAGCCUACUGCUUUUGCUAGCUGUAGCUCCUGAAAUACAACGGCGGAUCUGCGAUAUCCUCUGAGCGUAGUAAUUUUUAUCUCGCUUUUGACUGGAGUUGCAGCGUCUUUAGCCGCUAAACCCCCAAUUUUUAAUGGUUGACCUCGGAUCAGGUAUGAAUACCCGCUGAACUUAAGCAUAUCAAUAAGCGGAGGA
rnacentral:rRNA from 1 species